UGUGUGUAGAGGAGGGGGCUGUGAAGGCCUCUCAUUUCUGGCAGGGGGACAGCCCAGCUAGGAGCAUGGAACCAUUAGCAGGGCCUUUGCUGGUCCUUCCCUUCCCGGACACUGAGGCCUGGCUGGCUCGGGCUUCUGUCCCAAGCUGUGACUUGUCUUUUGGGAUCCCAUCUCAGCUCCUGCUGGAAGCCCUGCCUCUUUGGCCCAUUCCAGUCCCAGCCCGGCCCCCUGCCCCCUCUUCACCAUAGCGGGACCUUGCUGGGUUUGGUGACCACAUUUGGAGACUUGAGGAGCCGCACUGUGCCUUCCCAGAGCUGGCUGAUGGCAUACGAGUGAUGGGAACACAGAGUGGCAGAGAGAUGGGCCACCGGCAGGAAAUGUGAACCUCCUCAAGGACCAGGUGAUAGGGAUUCCGAGAAGCAGUUGACGAAGGAGGCUGGAGGGGGAGGGGUCAGGCGGGACCCUGGGGCCAGCGCUGUUACCACUUCUCUUUCCCGUAGAGCCACCCACCCAGCACAUGCUAAACACAUCACCACUGUGCGCCCACCCUGGGUUAGGCUCGGGGAAUAGAGGAGAAACUAUGGCAUGGCGCCGGCUUUGUGGGACAAGGCUCAAGUCGGUUACACAUUGUGGAUUUAGAGCCCCUGGAGCCCACCUGGAGAAGGUAGUUUCACCUGGGGAGAAGAUUCAGAACCACAAUACUUCAGGAGGAACUAGAAUGAACAGAGGAAGUGAGUGCCACCUUCACACGACUGAGGCUGCAGAAGUGAUACCUGCUUAUGGUAGAGAACUUGGAACAUCCAGACUGCUGAGAUGUCAGGUGACAUGCGGGGAGAGACACAUUACCUCUCAGAGUCCCAGACCGUACGCCCCAAGGAGAGAGGCCUUGUGUUCCCAUGGCUGGCUGGCCCACGGCGGCACCUAGGAGUUAAGAGAAAGAAUGGGCAAAUGGUCCUUUGGCCCUGGUGGGUGAGGGCUACAGUGACUCACAAUCGGAGUAAAAACCAGAGACUGUCAUCUGACCAGAACAAAUGCUCUUUGGGGAACAAAGGGACAGACUAUCUGAAAUUAAGGGACAUCCCCGAAAAUCCAGAACAGCUGGUGGCCGCAGAGAGGGCUGAGCUUCCUGAAUCCCAGGUCUGUAUGGAGCCGUGCAAGUCACCCAUUUUGACCCCGAGCUGACAUCUGACCUCUAGAGCCGAUUAUUCCUCCUCUCCAAGAGCAUAUUCCCGACGAAAUGGGGUCGGGAGACAUUUGCAUCCAAACCACCAAGCUCUUUAAAUGCUGGGGCUUGGAGGCCCGAUGGGUUUAUUAGAUUAUCA